rnacentral:lncRNA from 1 species
AUGAAAAAAAAAAAAAAAAAAAAAACAAUUUCCAUAGCAGGAGCGCUAUUUCCUGUAAAGACUAGACUUCAGAUUCAAAAGGAUAUUCCUAGUUAUUCAUUCAGAUCUUCCAAUUCCACUCAAUUCUCAAAUUUCUACCCUAUUUUGCUCUCUACCAAUUUGAGAAUCACUGACUCAAUUAGACAUGAGUUUGAGCAAGCUCUGGGAGAUGGUGAAGGACAGGGAAGCCUGGCAUGCUGCAGUCCACAGAGUUGCAGAGUCAGACACGAUUGAGUGAUGGAAUAAGAAUAAAUUUGAGAAUCUUGCAUUUAAAAUUGCUAGGCACUCCUCUUUCCCAUACAGCUAUGUUUCAUCAGGGUCAAGGAAUGACAGUGCUAAAUCUGUCCUUUGCCCUCUGUUUGCCCACAAGAAGAACUGUUGUCCAUAUAGGGAAAAUCUCAUCAUAGAUCCCAAACACAGUGGGUUUUUUUUCCCUUAAACUAAAACUGCCCCCAUGAUUUACUUUAUGUUGCUCAACUAUUUACAAUUCCAGUAAGACCACAGAUUUCAAAUUUUACAAUAAGGAUUGUAGCCUUUACUAAUUUUUUUUUUUUUUUGAGGGGGGAGGGGGAGCUGCCCCCUCUGGCUUGUGGGAUCUUAAUUCCUCAACCAGGGACUGAAUCUGGGCCCUGGCAGUGAAAGCAGCAAGUCUUAACCAUUGGACCAGCAAAGAAUAUCUAUUAAACUAUGUUUAACAGCUUUGCUGGGAGAAAGAAAAUCAAUGAUCACUAGUCAGAGAUGAGAACCAAGGAUCUUAUUUGAGUUCCUCAAGAUAGUAAACUUGUAGAUUUACUUUAAUACACAAUUUAAGUAUUCAUCUGAGACUGCCUUUUUAUGAAGAGAUGAGAAAAAACUUUAAUGGACUCACAAGAAAAGGAGCCCUCAUGACCCUGGGAAAGGGAGAGGAAGGUGGACCAUGUAACCAUGAGCAGCAAAGUCCAGACAGGUACUUGGAAAGGUUGCUGACAAUACACAUUUGGAAGAAAUGGUGACUUUAUCUGGAUUUUAAAAAAAAAUGUGAUCUACAGAAGGAUUAUACUUCAGUUAACUCUUGAACUGCCUGGGUCCACUUAUAUGUGGAUUUUUCCCACUAAGUACGUACUAUAAAUACUAUACAAUCUGUGCUUAGUUGCUCAGUUGUGUCUGACUCUUUUAGACCUCACUGACUGUAGCCUGCUAGUCUCCUCUGUCCAUGGGAUUCUCCAGGCAAGAAUACUGGAGUGGGUUGCCAUGCCCUCCUCCAAGGGAACACAGUCCGUGUUGGUUGAAUCUCCGUAUGUAGAAACAUGAAUACAGAUGGCUAAUUAUAAAGUUAUAUGUAUAUACAUAUAUAUAUAUACACACACAUAUGCACACACAAAUGGAUUUUCGACUAUGCGAAGGGUUGGUAUCCCAGCCCCAACACUGUUCAAGGGUUAAGUGUAUUUAUAAAGGA